rnacentral:rRNA from 1 species
UACGAAGGGGGCUAGCGUUGUUCGGAAUCACUGGGCGUAAAGCGCACGUAGGCGGUCUGUUAUGUCGGAUGUGAAAGCCCUUGGCUUAACUGAGGAAGUGCAUCCGAAACUGGCAGGCUAGAGUACUAAAGAGGGUCGCGGAAUUCCCGGUGUAGAGGUGAAAUUCGUAGAUAUCGGGAGGAACACCGGUGGCGAAGGCGGCGACCUGGGUAGAUACUGACGCUGAGGUGCGAAAGCGUGGGGAGCAAACAGG